GACAGAGGAUGCAAGCGUUAUCCGGAAUGAUUGGGCGUAAAGCGUCUGUAGGUGGCUUUAAAAGUCUCCUGUCAAAGAUCAGGGCUUAACCCUGGGCCGGCAGGAGAAACUCUAAGGCUAGAGUUUGGUAGGGGCAGAGGGAAUUCCCGGUGGAGCGGUGAAAUGCGUAGAGAUCGGGAGGAACACCAAAGGCGAAAGCACUCUGCUGGGCCACAACUGACACUGAGAGACGAAAGCGAGGGGAGCAAAAGGG
rnacentral:rRNA from 1 species